CCAAGUUAUACUGAAUCCAUAUCUGAAUAUGAAAAUAAAUUACAAACACGAAGGAACAAGAACAAUAAGAACCCUAAAUCAUAAAAACCCAGAAAUAUAUUUAACAACCGUAAAUCGAAAAACACCAGAACAAUAAAAACCCUAAAACUAAGUAGAUCUUAAGAAUAUCCAAUCUCUUUCUUUGUUUUUGCCACCUUCUUCGUCGCCACAUCAGGCUGAGCCACCGUGGAUCUGUUUCUUUUUCUGGUUUUCAGAUCUAAUAUCAGGUUCAACCACAAGCACUUUAUAACCGCUGUAGCUUCUCUGCCAUCUUUGAUUAUGUGGUUAUUAGAUAUAAAACGAAGAAAGAAAGAAGAAAUCUUCACUAUCGGAUUUUAUAUCGAAGAAGAAAGGAGAAGAAACAAAAAAAAAAGAGAAGUUGCAGAGAGGAAGAGAAAAGA
rnacentral:lncRNA from 1 species